AUGGCCGUCGUCAGCUCGUGUCGUGAGAUGUUUGGUUAAGUCCAGCAACGAGCGCAACCCCUGUUGCCAGUUACCAGCACGUGAAGGUGGGGACUCUGGCGAGACUGCCCAGAUCAACUGGGAGGAAGGUGGGGACGACGUCAGGUCAGUAUGGCCCUUAUGCCCAGGGCUGCACACGUACUACAAUGCCCAGUACAGAGGGGGCCGAAGCCGCGAGGCGGAGGAAAUCCUAAAAACUGGGCCCAGUUCGGACUGUAGGCUGCAACCCGCCUACACGAAGCCGGAAUCGCUAGUAAUGGCGCAUCAGCUACGGCGCCGUGAAUACGUUCCCGGGUCUUGUACACACCGCCCGUCACAUCAUGGAAGCCGGUCGCACCCGAAGUAUCUGAAGCCAACCGCAAGGAGGCAGGGUCCUAAGGUGAGACUGGUAACUGGGAUGAAGUCGUAACAAGGUAGCCGUAGGGGAACCUGCGGCUGGAUCACCUC
rnacentral:rRNA from 1 species